UACAGAGGGUGCAAGCGUUAAUCGGAAUUACUGGGCGUAAAGCGUGUGUAGGUGGUUUUCUAAGUCAGGUGUGAAAUCCCCAGGCUCAAACCUGGGGAACUGCAUUUUGAUACUGGAAGACUAGAGUGUGGUAGAGGAUAGUGGAAUUCCCGGUGUAGCGGUGAAAAUGCGUUAGAUAUCGGGAGGAACAUCAGUGGCGAAGGCGGCUAUCUGGACUAACACUGACACUGAGACACGAAA
rnacentral:rRNA from 1 species